GACGAACGCUGGCGGCGUGCUUAACACAUGCAAGUCGAACGGUAAGGCCCUUCGGGGUACACGAGUGGCGAACGGGUGAGUAACACGUGGGUGAUCUGCCCUGUACUUCGGGAUAAGCGUGGGCAACUGGGUCCAGUACCGGAUAGGACCACUGCUCGCAAGGGUGGUGGGGGAGAGCUUUUGCGGUGUGGGAUGGGCCCGCGGCCAAUCAGUUUGUUGGUGGGGUGAUGGCCUACCAAGGCGACGACGGGUAGCCGGCCGGAGAGGGUGACCGGCCACACUGGGACUGAGAUACGGCCCAGACUCCUACGGGAGGCAGCAGUGGGGAAUAUUGCACAAUGGGCGCAAGCCUGAUGCAGCGACGCCGCGUGAGGGAUGACGGCCUUCGGGUUGUAAACCUCUUUCAGCACCGACGAAGCGCAAGUGACGGUAGGUGCAGAAGAAGGACCGGCCAACUACGUGCCAGCAGCCGCCGUAA
rnacentral:rRNA from 1 species